CAGCAGCAGCCACGGUAAUACGAAGGGUGCAAGCGUUACUCGGAAUCACUGGGCGUAAAGCGUGCGUAGGUGGUGGUUUAAGUCCGUUGUGAAAGCCCUGGGCUCAACCUGGGAAUUGCAGUGGAUACUGGGUCACUAGAGUGUGGUAGAGGAUAGUGGAAUUUCCGGUGUAGCAGUGAAAUGCGUAGAGAUCGGAAGGAACAUCUGUGGCGAAGGCGACUAUCUGGGCCAACACUGACACUGAGGCACGAAAGCGUGGGGAGCAAACAGGAUUAGAUACCCCAGUAGUCCCUGUCUCUUAUAC
rnacentral:rRNA from 1 species